GGGUGCUAGUGCUGCUGCUGCUGCUGCUGCUGCUGCUGGGUGGCAGGGCACUUGAGGCAGGGACACUGGACCACACAGGCAUCCGUGGAGCGAAGAAUGAAGUGAUAAACCAAAUUGCUUAAGUGGCAGGGGCAGCAGCAGCAGCAGCAGCAGCAGCAUGAAUG
rnacentral:miRNA from 1 species